GGGGACAGGCAUAUUCAUAGAUCCAGGUAUUUUUAAUAAGGGUAAAGGUCAUUACCAAGCGCCAUUUUAGCAGUUUCCUGAACAUUAAAAACAAACAAUUUGUCAUUCUACACUGCUUUCCAUGAUUUAAAUUACAAGUUAGGGGUAUUUUAAGGAUGGUUAGUGGGAACAAAAACAGGAAAACAGACGAAGAGAGCGAGGAGGCUUUGUGGCAAGAAGCAGCAGGGUGCCGCUGUAACGAGGCAGCUCAAUGAGGCACGAUAAUUAAAGUUUCUUACUGACACUCAGACCAAUACAAUCCUCCUUAAUGAUGCCCUGCUACUCGCUCGGCCAUUUUACCUAGCCCGAGGCUAUAACGAAUAGCCAGACCAGACUGAAAAGCCCAUCCGCAUGCUCGCAAAUCAAACUUAACAGAACAUGCAGAUCCAUUUUCUGCUUGAAUUUUAGUUUCAUGAACACACUAGAAGAGCCGCACAGCCACACCUCAUCCACACCUGUGCACAUAACGUGUUGGUCUACUCACUCUGGACUUUAUUGAUAUAAUGGGAGCUCGCAAACAGGCCAGUCGAUUAAGCUGUUUACUUUCAGCCCCCCCCACCCCGGUUUGGACAGAGGAGCUUAGCGUACCUGUUCAUGCCAUCUCACUCACACACACACACACACACACACACACACACACACACACACACACACACACACACACACACAAUGACUGAUGACUAGUCGUUGCUGUUCUAAAUCUUUACCUGAGAAAAUUAACCUUGUGCAGUCUUGGAUUGAGAGUGAUAAAGCCCCUAACAACUGAGCCUCUACGCCUCAUUAUUCAGCAGCGCGGGUGAGAGAAAGAGAAUCGUCCCAUAGGAUUUCCUCAUAUAUUUAAUCCAGGUGAACUGUAAUGCAGAUCCUGAUAUCCAACACUUAGGCACUCAGUCUGAAUAAUCCCUCUAGUUUACUCGAAACCGCAGUCUUCUUUCUGCAGCUCUUUCUCCUUUUCAUGCCAGAACACAGAUCCUUCACCAUCACAUAAAAGCAUGUGCGACACACAAUACGCCCCUCAGUGAGUCAGGCUAAAUACAGAAGCCUGCGAUACUUCAUAUAUAAAGUGGGAGAGAUGCACACGUUUUGAUUCACCUCAUUCAGUCUUUCUGGUCUGUGUUACUUUCUUCAUCAUAAAGCUGAAGAAUAAUCGCGGUUGAUGUUCCCCCCCCCUAUAGAGCAUUAUGAAUUUGGUGAGGCAGCAAACACAGACUAAAUCAUGGUACUGAAAUAUCAUAAUGGAUAUUUAUGAUGGAUUACUUCAACAUUUAAAAUAUUUUGUAAACAAUUAGCACCAUAGCAUUCUUCAGACCACUCACUCAGUUAGCAGAAUAGCCUUUGUUACUUACUAACUCACAAAUUAAGCACCAUAUCGUGUGCCUGAAUUAGCACCAUAGCGUUUUUCCUUUUACCUCAAGUCUCUCAGUUAGCUCCACAGCCUUUUUACCUCAAGUCUCUCAGUUAGCUCCACAGCCUUUUUACCUCAAGUCUCUCAGUUAGCUCCAUAGCCUUU
ensembl:lncRNA